rnacentral:rRNA from 1 species
UACAGAGGUCCCAAGCGUUGUUCGGAUUCACUGGGCGUAAAGGGUGCGUAGGUGGUUGGGCAAGUCUGAUGUGAAAUCUCCGGGCUUAACCCGGAAAUGGCAUUGGAAACUGCCUGGCUAGAGUGUUGGAGGGGGGACUGGAAUUCUCGGUGUAGCAGUGAAAUGCGUAGAUAUCGAGUGGAACACCAGUGGCGAAGGCGAGUCCCUGGACAACGACUGACACUGAGGCACGAAAGCUAGGGGAGCAAACAGG